rnacentral:lncRNA from 1 species
UCCACCGGAUGGUGCAGCAGGUUCUACUUCAUCCCCACCACCUCAAUCACCUCCUGCUGUUCCAGCAGCGCCACCUCCAGCAUCACCACCACCACCACCACCAACUCCUUCCCUAGCCAAUUCUCCUUCGUCGCCUCCACCUCCUUCUCCUCCACCCCCUUCUCCCAAUGCUCCUCCACCGACUCCUCCGCCAUCUCCACCCAUUGCUCCAGUUCCGCCUCCCUCCAAUCCCUCACCUCCGCCAUUAACACCACCACCAACUUCACCUCCACCGCCACCACCACCGACCAAUCCGCCCAGGAGUCCGCCUCCCCCACCACCUACAGAACCACCAGUGACUUCACCUCCUCCACCAUCUUCAAACCCCCCUAAAAGUUCACCACCACCAUCAGAACCACCAAAAACCUCAC